rnacentral:rRNA from 1 species
GACGAACGCUGGCGGCGUGCCUAAUACAUGCAAGUAGAACGCACAGUUUAUACCGUAGCUUGCUCCACCAUAAACUGUGAGUUGCGAACGGGUGAGUAACGCGUAGGUAACCUGCCUGGUAGCGGGGGAUAACUAUUGGAAACGAUAGCUAAUACCGCAUAAUAUUGAUUAUUGCAUGAUAAUUGAUUGAAAGAUGCUAUUGCAUCACUACCAGAUGGACCUGCGUUGUAUUAGCUAGUAGGUGAGGUAACGGCUCACCUAGGCGACGAUACAUAGCCGACCUGAGAGGGUGAUCGGCCACACUGGGACUGAGACACGGCCCAGACUCCUACGGGAGGCAGCAGUAGGGAAUCUUCGGCAAUGGACGAAAGUCUGACCGAGCAACGCCGCGUGAGUGAAGAAGGUUUUCGGAUCGUAAAGCUCUGUUGUAAGAGAAGAACGGGUGUGAGAGUGGAAAGUUCACACUGUGACGGUAUCUUAACAGAAAGGGACGGCUAACUACGUG